UAUUUUGGCUGCUUGUUUGAUAUAAGGCUAGGACCCUUCAUGCACACCACAAAAUGUUUACUUUUCAUGUAAGUGUUAUAGCCUGGAUUUAGGAGCCUCAGUGUUGGCUCCCAGGUGAGUCAGUAGUGGCCUCCCCAUUCCUGAGGGUGGCAUCAGGCCACAGUACCUCUUGGGGCUCCCCAGCAUGGGAAGGACACCAGUCAUCUCAAAUGGGCUCCCACAUCCUCUCCCAGAGUGUGCCGGGAACUUGGCUCGUAGACCCCGUAAAAAGGUGCGCCAUCCUGCAUCAGGCAUGUGGCUCAGUUCUGGGUAGAGGUAAUUAUAUACCCAAGUACUCUCUCCUGAUUUCCCAGCCAGGAAAGAAAAGCCUCUUUAGGACAGAGACAUGAUCUUGAAGGACUCCAACUCUAAAAUACUUCACCAAGUCAAGUCCUGUAAACAAUGUGUUUACCUGCCUAGAUUUUGAGACCAAAAUGCCUAAGAACAAAACAAAACUAACCAAACUGAGUGCCUCGUAUUAGAAAUGUGGACAAUUAGUGGAAUCCUACAGUAUAUUCCUAAAUUCCUUGUGGAAUUUUAGAAGUUUAAUAUCCUACUAUCUUAACAUUUUGGUAACUUGGAGUUCAGAGAUCACUAAUUCGAACGUUGGUGCCACUAGCUGAAUAAUACAAUGUUUCUUCAUGUCCACAGAGGUCAUUUUUCAUUUAUCCCAGGAUCCAAAAUUAGAAUACCUCUGUGCAAUAUAAAAUUGCACACUAAGAAAUUUACUUGUAAAGUUUCACAUAUAGUUUAUUUCUAUUGAACUUCAGUUAUUGAAAGUAAGAAUUGAACACACACACACCUCUGCACCCACAUGUUUUUAUUUACCAAAGACCCUACAGUGAGGUGAAGGGGAUCUUUACAUCUAACAGGUUCAACCUCUUUCUAGCUGGAAAGAAGCAAAAGCUGGAACAGCUAUGAUAUGCACAUAUUUUUCCCAUGUGGCCUUUCUCUAUGCCUUUGUCUCCCCACACACGUAGACAUACUCAUGCUGUCCAAAGUUGGCAGUGGAACUCUACCUGACAGCUAUUGAGGUGCCGUGGAAUAAGGCCUGGGCAUCGAGAUGUACCCACAGAGAACACCAGAUCCAGCGAAAACUGCCCUGAUUUUCAGGGGAUGAAAUGUAGCUCUGCAACUCCAGAAGUUCAAUCAUCUAACAGUUGUGUAGGGUUUUUUUGUUUUUUUGUGUUUUUUUUUUUUACUCAUGGUUUUUGCGGCCUGGAUUAAAAGAAAAAGGAAUCAAAUCAUAUCUACUUAGAGCAG
rnacentral:lncRNA from 10 species